AAGACUAUACUUUCAGGGAUCAUUUCUAUAGUUCCUAACUCGAGAAAUGUGUUUCUAAAGUGUAUGGUCUCGCCAACCACGAUGAUGAGGUGGUGAUACUCCUUUCUGAGCGAGAAGCGGGUGGAGAGAUUUGAUUUAUAUCAUAUCGCUCUCUGCUUUUGAUGAUCGUUCACUGUCUCUUCUGGGGAUAAUGAGGAAAGGAGUAUGAUCAGAGUGGU
ensembl:snoRNA U3 Small nucleolar RNA U3